rnacentral:rRNA from 1 species
CAAUAGCGUAUAUUAAAGUUGUUGCAGUUAAAAAGCUCGUAGUUGGAUUUCUGGUCGGAAGCUCCUGUCCUCUGAUGAGCGUACAAGUGCGUCCUACCAUCCUUCUGUUAACCUUUAAGGCUUUCGCGGCUUUCUAGGGGCUCAGAUAUUUUACCUUGAGAAAAUUAGAGUGUUUCAGGCAGGCUAGCACCGGAAUACAUUAGCAUGGAAUAAUGGAAUAGGACUUUUGCCUCUUCUGUUGGUCAUGAGGCUCGAGUAAUGAUUAAUAGGGAUAGUUGGGGGCAUUAGUACUUAACUGUCAGAGGUGAAAUUCUCGGAUUUGUUAAAGACUAACUUAUGCGAAAGCAUUUGCCAAGGAUGUUUNCAUUAA